CGGCAGGCUUAACACAUGCAAGUCGAGGGGUAGAAGCAGCUUGCUGCUUUGAGACCGGCGCACGGGUGCGUAACGCGUAUACAAUCUACCUUUUACAGAGGAUAGCCCAGAGAAAUUUGGAUUAAUACCUCAUAGUAUGUGAGAAUCGCAUGGUUUUCACAUUAAAGUUCCAACGGUAAAAGAUGAGCAUGCGUCCCAUUAGCUAGAUGGUAAGGUAACGGCUUACCAUGGCGACGAUGGGUAGGGGUCCUGAGAGGGAGAUCCCCCACACUGGUACUGAGACACGGACCAGACUCCUACGGGAGGCAGCAGUGAGGAAUAUUGGACAAUGGGCGCAAGCCUGAUCCAGCCAUGCCGCGUGCAGGAUGACGGUCCUAUGGAUUGUAAACUGCUUUUGUACAGGAAGAAACACUCCCUCGUGAGGGAGCUUGACGGUACUGUAAGAAUAAGGAUCGGCUAACUCCGUG
rnacentral:rRNA from 1 species